ensembl:lncRNA
ACAGGCUCCAUGCUCCUUAAGCAGCUCGCACUGCUCCAGAGAGACUGAUCAUCUUUGAGAUAAAUGGAUAGCUUUGUUAUCAACACUUUGACUGAGUGGCAGCUGACAGAACUUUUAGAAAGAUUUAAAGAGGAGGGGAUUGAUGAGGAAAGUUUUCUUCUUUUAGAUGAGGCUACCAUCAACCAGUUGAUACCAAGAGCUGGACCUAGGCUGAAGUUCCUCCAAAAAUUUAGAAACUUUGUUGGAUCACCUGUUGUUGCGCCUGUUACCCCACCUACAAGCUCUGAUGUCAUAUCAACUGCCACACCUCCAGUCCUCAUGGACGAACAAGCAGCUGCAUCUGUGGUACCAGUGAAUCAGCUGAUACAGACUAUAAACAUCAUUCCACAGUUUGAUGUCCGGCAGGUUCUUGCAGGCUUACCGGAUGGCAAACAAAUUGUUCAGAGCCUUGAGGAUGCUAAUGUUAUCACAACUAGCCAGAGACGUCUUCUUGUCCGAAUUCUGGUGUCACACCUUAUUGAGAAGUUUGGAGAGAAUCCUUCAUCAGAGACCAAAAUGGCUCUGGCAUCGGAUUUGGUUCAGUCAUUUCCAAGUUUGAAAGACUCAUCAAGCUCUGGAAGAGAAAUAUGGUACACUCCAGGACGAUACCACCGGCCAGCCACUGGAUUCUUGGAAGAAAGACUACGGAACAUCAGGAAGAGACUUAGAUCGAUCAGCAGGUCACGGAGCAUGGCACAGACAUCACCUCAAACACCACGUGACGGUGCUUCUGCAAGAGCUCUCCUACCGGAAUGUAGCAUAUCAGAUGAACGUGCGGCACAGCUUGAGGAACAACUCUCAGCCCCUUAGCCAGGUAGAGACCUACAUGAAGGAAACAGCAAUCUACAGGGCCAAGUGCAUUAGGGACAACAGUUGGACCAUUGAUCAGAUCCUCCAAGAGUUCCCCCACCUUAUGACCAAAGGCAUGAUUGCACAGGACUUUCUUCUCCUCCAUGGGGAUGCUGCAUCAAAGUUGUUUGAAAAUUGGAUACCCUUUUAUGCUGAGAAGAUCCUACACCUGGCAAGACAGGAAGGGAAACUGACAAUGCCCCUGGAUGGGUUAACAACAGAUGCUGUUGGGGAACUUGCCCUAAGGCAGCUGCCAGUCUUGCUUCCUCCAACUGCUUACAAAGUCGGUCGUGGCCGUGGAGCAAAAAUGGUUCGCCACACCAUUAAAGAAGGCAGCUUGGCCCUAAUCGAUCAUAAGCCUCCUGGAACAAAUAUGGUGGAGUACCUCCAUGAGGCCAUGGCAUCCAGACCUUACCCCUAUGUCCUGACACUGGGAAAUGACAAUCGGCAUACAGCUCAGACCUUUGUCAUCAUUGCUGGACAGGCUUUGGAACAUGACACUCUGCUUCAGGCCAUUGAUGUCUGCUUUAAGGCAUUCUUUAUUUUGGACAUUAAAUACCCAAAGCAAUGUGAACAUGUGUGGGAGUUUCUGCAGAGUGUUAUUUAUGAAAUGCCAGGAGGGGAGUCUAAACUGGUAAAGUUCCUUCAAACAAGAAUACUUGCUUGCCAGUAGAACCAACAGCUUUAAUGUCAAUUUGUUACUAGACCUGUUAAAUGCUGUCCGUUGUUAAGCAUGGUUUUAAUGAAACUAAUUUCUUACAUUAUAUAUUGUUGGUAUUGAAUAAAAUGGCCUCAAGGACAGCUUGUUGCUACUAG